rnacentral:misc_RNA from 1 species
UUUCCAUAGGUGAACCUGCGGAAGGAUCAUUAUUGUAUAACCGAGGUGCGAGGGCUGUCGCUGACCCGAAAGGUCGUGCACGCCCGAGUGCCCUCACACACAUCCAUCUCACCCCUAUGUGCACCACCGCGUGGGUCCCCCUUUGGCUUGUUCGGAGGGGGGCUUACGUUUUCACACAAACUUUGUAUGCAGUGUAGAAUGUAUUUUUUGUUUUUGCGAUCACGCAAUCAAUACAACUUUCAACAACGGAUCUCUUGGCUCUC